rnacentral:lncRNA from 1 species
AAUAGUUUAUUUUUUCUCUUUAUGAAGCUAGCCAAAAUGAGGAGAUAAGAUAGGGCCAAUAUUUACAUUGAAAUUAGUUCAAUUAGAACUUUGGCAGUAGAACUAUAACCUCCCCAGCCACUAGUUGAGUGUUUUAGAGAAGUUUGCAUGUGAUCAAGGCAUGCACACGCAAUGGUUUGGCAGUAGGUAGAGGCCAUCCAGAGCAUGAUAAGUUAGUCUGUGUCCUUUAUUCACUCUGCAUUCACAGAGUGAAGAAUAAUGCUGUCACUGGGGGGAUUUAUCACGUUCACUGGAAAACUGAUGUCAAAAUUAUUAAAUGAUAUCAUGUUUUCUUCAAUUUAUGCCAGUGUUAUAUUUUUAUCGAUAUUGAACUGAAAGACUUUGGAUUGCUAAUUUUAAAAACAGGGAAAAAAUUCUUAGAUCCUAUCUUCUAGUGAAUACAUUCACUACUCUCUGUAGUGAUUUAGAGCUCCUGAUUUUAGGAGCACAUAACAAUUUUGCUGAUUUAAUGUGCAAUAAUUGGCACGUUAUGAACACUUUGAUCUUGCCUGAGGAAUAACUCCUGAAUAGAUAAUCCAAGCUUAGGAAAACUGUAAUGUUUAUUGACAGUUAAUUAUUGUUCUUUUUUUGUUCCAUUUCCAAAUGGGUAUUUCUAAAUUACCCUAGUUUUCCUAAGGCUGACAAAGGAGAAUAAAUUUUAGACUUACAUUGUCCAGUAUGGCAGGCACUAGCCACAUGGAGUUAUUAAGCAUUGAAAGGUGGCUGGUUCAGAUUGAGAUGUCCUGUAAGAGUAAAAUACACACCGUAUUUCAGGUCUUAAUACAAUAAAACAAAGUAAAAUGGUUAUUGAUCACACAUUGAAUCGAUAACACUUUGGAUACACUGUGAAAUAACAUAUAUGAACUAAUUAAUUUUAUCUUUUUAAACUUUAGACUUACAUAUGUGGCUCACAUUAUAUUUGCUGGAUGACAUGACUAUAGAGUAUUCCAGAGAAGCAAAGAUGAAGAAUAUCAGGAUUUGGUCUACUACAAGACAAGAAAAAGGCAAAAAAGAGCCCAGGACGUUGCCAUCUGGGGAUGUUAUGGCAGAUCGGCUCUGCAAAAACCUAAAAGGCCUAAACUCCUUUCGAGGAUUGCUGAGGAAGUAUCCCCAUCUUCUUUAUCCAAGAUGGUGACUGGUAUCAAAAGAUCAAAAACCUGGUUAGAGAUGCCGGCCUUUGCAAUGAGGGUCAGUCAACAAGGACUAACCUGUAAGUGGCUUAAUGGACAAUGAGGAUAGAAAAGGCCUCUGUGUGGCAAUUAUCUGGUCACAGAUAGUUACCCCUUUAAUGACUGAAAGGACCCCUCCACUCUAUUUAUGUGUUGUUUUUGUACAGAUUUCAGAAAUUGAAGGCUGCUAAUCUGAGUAGUUCUCAAAUGUGAGGAACUGCUGGUCUUGGAUUUUUUCCCAUUAAAUUCAGCUGAUCAUAUUGAUCAAUAGAUAAAUGUAAAUAGCUUCAAAUGUUAAAAGUCAAGUUUAAAAGUUGAUUCAGUGUUUUUUCUUCACU